ensembl:lncRNA
AAUGUUCCAUUAUAAUCACUGGCUUGAUUUAGGGACUUGUUAACUAGAUUAGAAUUCAUUGAUGACAGAAGACAUUCUCUGAGACAUUUUAUCUCCCUAAUUCCUAACUUAGUAUCUGGAAUGUUUUCAAAUAAGUGAACAAUUUAUUUCAGCAAAUAUUUAUCCAGUGCUUCCCAUGGGCCAGGCACCUGGUUAAGUACUCGGAAUCCAAGGGCAACCCAAAAUUAACAAGGCUCAGUUGCAAUCGGAGAUUACAGUCUAGUGAAGGAGACUGAUAUGAAUCAAAUGAUCACACAAUCAGAAAUACAACCUUGAAAACCUAUGUAACACAUAAGUGCUCAAUAAUACUUGGUGGAAAGGAUGGCCUGAUGAAGAAAGGAAAUCUCCUGAGAAACCGGCACCCCAGAGAGAAACACCGUGGUAAAGCCAUUCAAGAGCCAUGACUUAAUGAGCUUUCUGGAGAUUUGAAUAUGCC